GGCUCCUUCGGGAGUACACGAGCGGCGAACGGGUGAGUAACACGUGAGCAAUCUGCCCUUCACUUCGGGAUAACUCCGGGAAACCGGUGCUAAUACCGAAUACGACCACUUCAGGCAUCUGAUGGUGGUGGAAAGUUCCGGCGGUGAAGGAUGAGCUCGCGGCCUAUCAGCUUGUUGGUGGGGUAAUGGCCCACCAAGGCAACGACGGGUAGCCGGCCUGAGAGGGUGACCGGCCACACUGGGACUGAGACACGGCCCAGACUCCUACGGGAGGCAGCAGUGGGGAAUAUUGGACAAUGGGCGAAAGCCUGAUCCAGCAACGCCGCGUGAGGGAUGACUGCCUUCGGGUUGUAAACCUCUUUCAGCAGGGACGAAGCGCAAGUGACGGUACCUGCAGAAGAAGCACCGGCCAACUACGUGCCAGCAGCCGCGGUAAUACCGUAGGGUGCGAGCGUUGUCCGGAAUUAUUGGGCGUAAAGGGCUCGUAGGCGGUCUGUCGCGUCGGGAGUGAAAACUCAGGGCUUAACCCUGAGCCUUGCUUCCGAUACGGGCAGACUAGAAGUAUGCAGGGGAGAACGGAAUUCUGUUGU
rnacentral:rRNA from 1 species